rnacentral:rRNA from 1 species
UACGGAGGGUGCGAGCGUUGUCCGGAAUCACUGGGCGUAAAGGGCGCGUAGGCGGCAUGCCAAGCGUGUGGUGAAAGCCCGGGGCUCAACCCCGGGUCGGCCGUGCGGACUGGCGUGCUCGAGCACUGUAGGGGCCGGGUGGAAUUCCGGGUGGUAGGCGGUGGAAUGCGUAGAGAGUCCGGAAGAACACCGGUGGCGAAGGCGGCC